CUUAACUCUUGGAAUGAAAACUACACCGUCUCUGGCAGAUCAUCCAACAAGUGAAGCGAAGAGACCAUUAUUUGACCCACCUUCAAAGCUUUCCUCACUUCAAAUACAAAUUACAGAUGAACAAGCUUCUGGCAUAUGGCCUAUGGAUUCUUCUCAGCCUUUCCUCUGUGAGUGCAAUCUGGUGUCAUGACUGUGAAAGGAAGUAUGUAAAAGAAAAAUGCCCCAAGGUGGAGCAAGCUAGGUGCUGGGCGGGUGAAGGAGAAAGCUGCUAUAGGCAGAACCU